rnacentral:rRNA from 1 species
CGCGUAGGUGGUUUUUUAAGUCGGAUGUGAAAUCCCCGGGCUUAACCUGGGUCGGUCAUUCGAUACUGGAAGACUAGAGUAUGGUAGAGGGUAGUGGAAUUCCUAGUGUAGCGGUGAAAUGCGUAGAUAUUAGGAGGAACACCAGUGGCGAAGGCGACUGCCUGGACUGAUACUGACACUGAGGUGCGAAAGCGUGGGUAGCGAACA